rnacentral:rRNA from 1 species
AGUUUGAUCCUGGCUCAGAACGAACGCUGGCGGCAGGCUUAACACAUGCAAGUCGAGCGCCCCGCAAGGGGAGCGGCAGACGGGUGAGUAACGCGUGGGAAUCUACCUAGCUCUACGGAAUAACCCAGGGAAACUUGGACUAAUACCGUAUACGUCCUUCGGGAGAAAGAUUUAUCGGAGUUGGAUGAGCCCGCGUUGGAUUAGCUAGUUGGUGGGGUAAUGGCCUACCAAGGCGACGAUCCAUAGCUGGUCUGAGAGGAUGAUCAGCCACACUGGGACUGAGACACGGCCCAGACUCUACGGGAGGCAGCAGUGGGGAAUAUUGGACAAUGGGCGAAAGCCUGAUCCAGCCAUGCCGCGUGAGUGAUGAAGGCCCUAGGGUUGUAAAGCUCUUUCAACGGUGAAGAUAAUGACGGUAACCGUAGAAGAAGCCCCGGCUAACUUCGUGCCAGCAGCCGCGGUAAUACGAAGGGGGCUAGCGUUGUUCGGAAUUACUGGGCGUAAAGCGCACGUAGGCGGACUAUUAAGUCAGGGGUGAAAUCCCGGGGCUCAACCCCGGAACUGCCUUUGAUACUGGUAGUCUAGAGUCCGAGAGAGGUGAGUGGAAUUCCGAGUGUAGAGGUGAAAUUCGUAGAUAUUCGGAGGAACACCAGUGGCGAAGGCGGCUCACUGGCUCGGUACUGACGCU